CCUCUGUGGAAAGGUGAGACUCUCACAAACACAUACGUACAUGUUGUACAAGCCUCACAAGACUAAUCUGAAGGUAGCCUGCUCAACAGUGCUCAACAGUUUCCUGUGUGUAUCAAGAAUGGGCCACCACCCAAAGGACAUCCAGCCAACUUGACACAACUGUGCCCAGGGUUUCCCUGAUGGAUCAGACACAUGGAGAAGUCAAGUGCCAGCUGUAUCACAACCGGCCGUGAUUGGGAGUCCCAUAGGGCGGCGCACAACUGGCCCAGCGUCGUCCGGAUUUGGCCGUCAUUAUGACAAAACCUGCACACAGGCCAAGGGGUGCAGGUCUGCCGACUUCCUUCUGGCCACACAUUGUAUUCUGAGAAAUAGGACAUUGCUUUAACUGUGAAUGUACUUUAUUGCAGAUAUUUUCCUCAAAUAAAAUUCACCAUACAUUAAAAUAAACAAGUUAUUACAACUGAUUUACAUUGGGUCUAAUGUGUGUAUGAGGCAUGUUUUUCAACUCAGAAAAAAAGCACACAAAAUGUCCUAAAACUACAUAUUAAGCAAGUCUUUUACAAUAUUAUCAAUCACACUUUGAUUUGAUAGAUAGUUUGAGUAAUUAUGUAGAUAUUGAGCAUGUCUAUGAGGGAGUAGAUAUCUCCAAUCCUACAAUAAAAUGGAGCAAACAUUAAACAAGUAAUUACAACUUAUUUACAUUGUGGAUGUGUG
ensembl:lncRNA